AGAGUUUGAUCCUGGCUCAGGAUAAACGCUGGCGGUGUACAUAAGACAUGCAAGUCGAACGGGAGAAGACUGGAAGAUUUAUCUACUAGCUCGGACACCGUGGCGGACGGGUGAGUAACACGUAAGCAACCUACCUAUAAGAGGGGAAUAACAGUGAGAAAUUACUGAUAAUACCGCAUAAGCUGGAGGUAUCGCAUGAUACAUUCAGAAAAGAUUUAUCGCUUAUAGAUGGGCUUGCGUCUGAUUAGCUAGUUGGUGAGAUAAUAGCUCACCAAGGCAACGAUCAGUAGCCGGAUUGAGAGGUUGAACGGCCACAUUGGGACUGAGACACGGCCCAGACUCCUACGGGAGGCAGCAGUCGGGAAUAUUGCACAAUGGAGGAAACUCUGAUGCAGUGACACCGCGUAUAGGAAGAAGGUCUUAGGAUUGUAAGCUAUUGUCGUGUGAGAAGAAAAUGACCAUCACAGGAGGAAGCCCUGGCUAAAUAUGUGCCAGCAGCCGCGGUAAUACAUAUGGGGCGAGCGUUAUCCGGAUUUAUUGGGUGUAAAGGGUGCGUAGGCGGGAAAAUAAGUCAGUAUGUGAAAUCCCUCGGCUCAACUGAGGAACUGCAACUGAAACUAUUUUUCUUGAGUGUUGAAGGGGAAAGUGGAAUUCCUAGUGUAGCGGUGAAAUGCGUAGAGAUUAGGAGGAACACCAGUGGCGAAGGCGACUUUCUGGGCAACAACUGACGCUGAGGCACGAAAGUGUGGGGAGCAAACAGGAUUAGAUACCCUGGUAGUCCACACC
rnacentral:rRNA from 1 species